rnacentral:rRNA from 1 species
CGCCGUAUAGAGGCGUAACAAGGUUUCCGUAGGUGAACCUGCGGAAGGAUCAUUACAGUAUUCUUUUGCCAGCGCUUAACUGCGCGGCGAAAAACCUUACACACAGUGUCUUUUUGAUACAGAACUCUUGCUUUGGUUUGGCCUAGAGAUAGGUUGGGCCAGAGGUUUAACAAAACACAAUUUAAUUAUUUUUACAGUUAGUCAAAUUUUGAAUUAAUCUUCAAAACUUUCAACAACGGAUCUCUUGGUUCUCGCAUCGAUGAAGAACGCAGCGAAAUGCGAUAAGUAAUAUGAAUUGCAGAUUUUCGUGAAUCAUCGAAUCUUUGAACGCACAUUGCGCCCUCUGGUAUUCCAGAGGGCAUGCCUGUUUGAGCGUCAUUUCUCUCUCAAACCCCCGGGUUUGGUAUUGAGUGAUACUCUUAGUCGGACUAGGCGUUUGCUUGAAAAGUAUUGGCAUGGGUAGUACUAGAUAGUGCUGUCGACCUCUCAAUGUAUUAGGUUUAUCCAACUCGUUGAAUGGUGUGGCGGGAUAUUUCUGGUAUUGUUGGCCCGGCCUUACAACAACCAAACAAGUUUGACCUCAAAUCAGGUAGGAAUACCCGCUGAACUUAAGCAUAUCAAA